GGAUGCACGCAGGGGUACUCCAUGGCCACGCGCCCGGGGGUUGAGAGAGUCCCUUCGUACCAGUACGGAUAAUGCCGAUGCUGGGAGCGUUCCGGCGUACGCG
rnacentral:ncRNA from 1 species